rnacentral:rRNA from 1 species
GAUGAACGCUGGCGGCGUGCCUAACACAUGCAAGUCGAACGGAGAUUCCGGACGGACGUUUUCGGAUGGAAGCCUGUAAUUCUUAGUGGCGGACGGGUGAGUAACGCGUGGGCAACCUGCCCUAUACAGGGGGAUAGCAGCUGGAAACGGCUGGUAAGACCGCAUAAGUCGGUUAAAUCGCAUGAUUUGAUCGGGAAAUGAGCAAUCAGGUAUAGGAUGGGCCCGCGUCCGAUUAGCCAGUUGGCAGGGUAAAAGCCUACCAAAGCGACGAUCGGUAGCCGGACUGAGAGGUCGGACGGCCACAUUGGGACUGAGACACGGCCCAAACUCCUACGGGAGGCAGCAGUGGGGGAUAUUGCACAAUGGAGGAAACUCUGAUGCAGCGACGCCGCGUGAGUGAAGAAGUAUUUCGGUAUGUAAAGCUCUAUCAGCAGGGAAGAUGAUGACGGUACCUGACUAAGAAGCCCCGGCUAACUACGUA